rnacentral:rRNA from 1 species
UAAUACGGGAGGCAGCAGUGGGGAAUAUUGCACAAUGGGCGCAAGCCUGAUGCAGCCAUGCCGCGUGUGUGAAGAAGGCCUUCGGGUUGUAAAGCACUUUCAGUCGUGAGGAAGGUGGUGUAGUUAAUAGCUCUAUCAUUUGACGUUAGCGACAGAAGAAGCACCGGCUAACUCCGUGCCAGCAGCCGCGGUAAUACGGAGGGUGCGAGCGUUAAUCGGAAUUACUGGGCGUAAAGCGCAUGCAGGUGGUUUGUUAAGUCAGAUGUGAAAGCCCGGGGCUCAACCUCGGAAUAGCAUUUGAAACUGGCAGACUAGAGUACUGUAGAGGGGGGUAGAAUUUCAGGUGUAGCGGUGAAAUGCGUAGAGAUCUGAAGGAAUACCGGUGGCGAAGGCGGCCCCCUGGACAGAUACUGACACUCAAAUGCGAAAGCGUGGGGAGCAAACAGGAUUAGAUACCCUGGUAGUCCACGCCGUAAACGAUGUCUACUUUGAAGUUGUGGCCUUGAGCCGGGGUUUUCAGA